CCAGGGAGAGAACAGGAGUUUAGAUUUAAAGGUUUCUCUUUUUGUCUAAGAACCUGAAGGAUCUUCAUGUGCUUGAUAGGAUGUAUAAAAUGUCUCUAGGAAUGAAAUCAUAGAGUGUUUGGGAUUUUCAUUUUUUAUGUGUUUUGAGGAUAAAAGCAGGCUCUCAGGAAAGUCAGAGAAAAGGGCCUUCAUAAUCACAGAGCAAGAGGUAGGCAAAGUAGUGACUGGAAAGAGAAGCUGUUCUGCAGUGACAUCCCAGCCCCAUAGACCCUGACUCCAAGAAGGACGAUGAGAUUGUGAGUGACAGAUAAUCACUUCAUUUACCUCUCAGGUCUCUGGAGACUGUUCUCAUGGAGAGUCUCAUUGAGGAGCUCCUCGGGGAUGUUUUUCCCCUUAAUGGUUUGAUGUCUUCAUAGUAAACAUGGUGAAAAUUAGUUUUACUUUGUCCCCUAAAUGUAGAACCUUAUGGAUUUCUUUUUAAUCAUUGCUGGCAACCAGCUCUGCAUGACAGCACUGCACACAAAUACCGUGGAUGAUGAUGAGUGAAUUGAGGAAUGCGGGUUGCAUUGUACUGAAAGGCCAGGCAUCCUUUCCACAUUCCAGUCAGAGGAGUGGAAUCACAGGCACACCAUCUCUCCACAAUGCGUUGAUUGUGAAGAGAGACAGAGCUCUCCUUUCAAAGAGGCUUUCCAAAUAACACCCCUCCCCCUCAGUUCUGAGGUGCUGCAAACGAAGGAAUCAUCGAAUACCUUCCUGUCUCUGAAUCAGGACAUCAGGAAGAAAAGAAGAGUGCAAGGAACAUUGCAGCAUAAGCCUUUUCUCCUUUCGGAAGUUUUCUGGAACCUUCCUUGAUGGAUUCUUAAACACCUGACAUCUUUAUUUGUAAAAUACUUUUCAUGGGUGUGUAUAUUCAGUAGAGUACUUUGCCAUCCCAAAUGAAAUUAGAAGUCAGUUAGGAGAUAA